GAUGAACGCUGGCGGCGUGCCUAAUACAUGCAAGUCGAGCGAACAGACGAGGAGCUUGCUCCUCUGACGUUAGCGGCGGACGGGUGAGUAACACGUGGAUAACCUACCUAUAAGACUGGGAUAACUUCGGGAAACCGGAGCUAAUACCGGAUAACAUGUUGAACCGCAUGGUUCAACAGUGAAAGACGGUCUUGCUGUCACUUAUAGAUGGAUCCGCGCCGCAUUAGCUAGUUGGUAAGGUAACGGCUUACCAAGGCAACGAUGCGUAGCCGACCUGAGAGGGGGGGCGCCCACAGGGGAACUGAGACGGGGCCCAGAGCCCUGCGGGGGGGAGCAGUGGGAACUUUCCGGAAAGGGGCGAAGGCCUGACGGCGCAACGCCGGGUGAGUGAAGAAGGUCUUGGGAUCAAAAAACUUUUUUAUGGGGGAAAAAAAAAUUGGAAAGUAACUCUGCACGUCUGGAGGGUCCCUAACAAAAAGGCCCCGGCAACCUACGUC
rnacentral:rRNA from 1 species